AUUAGAUAAAAAACCAAUGCCCUUCGGGGCUUUCUGGUGAUUCAUAAUAACUAAACGAAUCGCAUGGCCUUGAGCCGGCGAUGGUUCAUUCAAAUUUCUGCCCUAUCAACUUUCGAUUGUAGGAUAGAGGCCUACAAUGGUUUCAACGGGUAACGGAGAAUUAGGGUUCGGUUCCGGAGAGGGAGCCUGAGAAACGGCUACCACAUCCAAGGAAGGCAGCAGGCGCGCAAAUUACCCAAUCCCGACACGGGGAGGUAGUGACAAUAAAUACUGAUACAGGGCUCUUUUGGGUCUUGUAAUUGGGAUGAGUACAAUUUAAAUCCCUUAACGAGGAACAAUUGGAGGGCAAGUCUGGUGCCAGCAGCCGCGGUAAUUCCAGCUCCAAUAGCGUAUAUUAAAGUUGUUGCAGUUAAAAAGCUCGUAGUUGAACCUUGGGUCUGGCUGGCCGGUCCGCCUCACCGCGUGCACUGGUCCGGCCGGACCUUUCCUCUUGGGGAUCCGCAUGCCCUUUACUGGG
rnacentral:rRNA from 1 species